CCCGUUUCCGCAUUCCAGACACCCACGGCGGCGGCCAGGGGUGGCCCCACCCUGGGGCGGCCCCGAGCUGGUGCAGGUGGCCCUCGCCCGGAGGAGACCCGGCGGAGCUCCCUUGCAGGCACCUGCCCCUGCGAUCGGACUGUGCUGGGGACGUCCUUCAGAGAGCGACGGUGGAAUGUGGCGCAACAGCUGGCCCCCAACCUGAAGUGCUGGAAGGAAGCUUGUGAGGCCUCCUGAAUUGUCUGUCUAAUCAGGGAGACAGUUACACCUCCUGGAUCAAAGUCACGGGGCAGCUUCUGGGAACUGGACCUCGAGCAGCCGGAGAAAGGCUGCAGAACUGGUUUCUCGGCACGGCUGUUUACUUGUUUGUCUGAUCGCCUAGUGGACAAUCCCACU
rnacentral:lncRNA from 1 species